rfam:Aquimarina sp. RZW4-3-2 contig, whole genome shotgun sequence.
GGGCUCAUGGUGUAACGGAAGCACCCAAGGCUACGAACCUUGGAGUAUAGGUUCGAAUCCUAUUGAGCUUA